rnacentral:tRNA from 1 species
CANNNAGAAGCUAACCAGAGCAUUAACCUUUUAAGUUAAAGACUGAGAGUUUAAACCUCUCCUUAGUGA